ACCUAUGGCGGCUGGUGCGGGGCAGGCUUCGGCCUGGCCGGUUCCUUUUCGCCGGUAUUUCCUACCCCCGAACCAGUCGCCACCAAU
rfam:Methylocaldum sp. 175 genome assembly, contig: JC06DRAFT_unitig_0_quiver.5